ACCUACGGGGGGCAGCAGUAGGGAAUCUUCCACAAUGGGCGCAAGCCUGAUGGAGCAACACCGCGUGAGUGAAGAAGGGUUUCGGCUCGUAAAGCUCUGUUGUUGGAGAAGAACGUGCGUGAGAGUAACUGUUCACGCAGUGACGGUAUCCAACCAGAAAGUCACGGCUAACUACGUGCCAGCAGCCGCGGUAAUACGUAGGGAGCAAGCGUUAUCCGGAUUUACUGGGGGUAAAGGGCGUGUAGGCGGGCCUGCAAGUCAGAAGGGAAAUCUGGGGGCUUAACCCCCAAA
rnacentral:rRNA from 1 species